GACCUUCAUUAUUUCUUUGUUGGACUGUCAGCAUUGCAACCACUGGGUCAUCACCUGAGCACCUGAGAAACAAGCACUGAUAACAUGAACGUGAAAGGCAGUCCUUGCUCUUAAGACUCCAGUAAGAGAACUUUCUACAAGUCUACAGAAGAAGAUUAAAUAGUCAGUGCUCCCUUGCCUAUCCCACUGGAAUUCUACUUCAUAGCUUGAGCGCUUUGAUCUCUGCCAAUAUACUUGUUUGAAUGUCAGUUACACUUGGAAAGUAGAUCGUUCAGACUUUUUAGGUCCUCAUUAAAAUGCUCUUUUGCAUCGUGAAUGUCACAGGGUUGGAGACAGAGAUGAGACUAUGCAGUC